UGGGGAAUUUUGGACAAUGGGCGCAAGCCUGAUCCAGCCAUGCCGCGUGCGGGAAGAAGGCCUUCGGGUUGUAAACCGCUUUUGUCAGGGAAGAAAUCCUUUGAGCUAAUACCUCGGGGGGAUGACGGUACCGUAAGAAUAAGCACCGGCUAACUACGUGCCAGCAGCCGCGGUAAUACGUAGGGUGCGAGCGUUAAUCGGAAUUACUGGGCGUAAAGCGUGCGCAGGCGGUUUUGUAAGACAGAGGUGAAAUCCCCAGGCUCAACCUGGGAAUUGCCUUUGUGACUGCAAGGCUUGAGUGCGGCAGAGGGGGAUGGAAUUCCGCGUGUAGCAGUGAAAUGCGUAGGUAUGCGGAGGAAAACCGAUGGUGAAGGCAAUCCCCUGGGCCUGCACUGACGCUCAUGCACGAAAGCGUGGGGAGCAAACA
rnacentral:rRNA from 1 species